rnacentral:lncRNA from 1 species
GCCUCAGCCCUAGAAUCAGCCCUUCUCUAAGGAACCUACUUCCUUUUGUUAGUACUUCAAAACCAAGAUCUGGGCCUACGAUCCAACAUGCUGACUACACCUGAUCUUGCUAGCUAAGCAGAAUUAGAUGUGGUUAGUAUUGGAUGAAGAAACCAAAAUCUGGACACUGGAAGUGCUUCUUACUAUUGGGACAUCACUACCUCUUGACAUCCCAGUAGACAAAGCUAGAAAAAUGUAUGUAUAUUAAUCCAUGUAUAUGUACGUGUCUAUAAUUAUUUGUGUGUGUGUAUUAAGCUCAACACAAGUUUGUACUAUAUUCAACUUGAAUCUAGGGCAUAUAUUUAGAUUUCAGUGUUGCUAUUUUUCCUGUUCACUGACUAAAUUCAUAAAAAGAUAGGCCAAAAAAAAAAAAAUCAGAAGCCCAACCAAAUUUUAGCAGCUCUUUGCAAAAAAUAUAAUAUUGAUAUGUUUAAGUAAUGAAAUAUAUUGCCUCCAAAUAAUGUCUGUGACUUUAAAAUAUUUAUAUACACUUUUCCCAGGGACAAAUAAAACAUUAAUUUCAUAGAUUGAAAAAACGGAGCAUAGAGAAGCUGCAGUGAAGACAGAAUUAAGAUAAAUAAGAGCAAGAGCAAAUUAAACACAUGUAAAUGGCUUUUUUUUUUUUUUUUGGUGGUGGUGGGUCCUGGGGAUUGAACCCAGGGGCGCUUAACCACUAAGCCACAUUCCCAGCCUUUUUAAAAAGUAUUUUAUUUAGAUGGACUGGGGUUGUGGCUCAGUGGUAAAGUGCUCGCCUAGCACAUGUGAGGCUCUGGGUUCAAUCCUUGGCAUCACAUAAAAAUAACAUAAAGGUCAUUGUGUACACCUACAACUAUAAUAAGUUUCUUAUGAGUUGCUUAGAGACUGGCUUUGAAUUUGGGAUCCUCCUGUCUCAGCCUCCCAAGAUGCUGGGAUUACGGGAGUGUGCCACUGUACCAGCCAUCAGGCAUCCUUUAAAGAGGGAUUUGUCUAGACUAGUUAUACUAAUAAAAAUUAUUUGUUUUGGGGCUGGGGUUGUGACCCAAGUGGUAGAGUGCUUGCCUUGCACACAUGAGGCACUGGGUUCAAUCCUCGGCACCACAUAAAAAUAAAUGAAUAGUUAAAACAAAGGUAUUGUGUCCAUGUUAAAAAAAAUAUUUGUUUUAUUAACUUAUCACUAAUUCUCCCUCCUAAAUUGAAAAUAUGGCUGUUUCUGCCAGUAUUUAUUGAAAUAAGAGAUUAUCGGGAGGUUUGAUGCAAAAUGAUAGUUUUAUCCUGGUACAAAACAGAUAAUGUCCUAACAGUGAAGAUGAUGGAAUCUUUGUAUAAAAACAAUUAUUUAGUGAACUGACUUCAGUAACUUUUUUUUUUUUUUUUUGAUACCAGAAAUUGAAUUCAGGGGCGCCUAACCACCGAGCUCUAUCCCCAGCCCUUUUAAAAAUAUUUAAUUUAGAGACAGGGUCUCGCUAAGUUGCUUAGGGCCUAAGUUGCCAAGGCUGGCUUUAAACUCAUGAUCCUCCUGCCUCAGCCUCCCAGCCCAUUGGGAUUACAGUCAUACACAACCUCCUGUCUUCACUUCAGUAAUUUUUUGAGAUUAGAAUGAAAAUCCUUCCAUAUAUACUAUGAUGCAUUGUUAAGAGUUCACAGAAGGGCUGGGGAUGUGGCUCAAGCGGUAGCACGCUCGCCUGGCAUGCGUGCGGCCCGGGUUCGAUCCUCAGCACCACAUACAAACAAAGAUGUUGUGUCUGCCAAAAACUAAA